CUAUUAACUCAUUUUUCCUUCAUUCAAUAUAAAAGAAAAUAGAUUUUUUAGUUGAUAUGGAUGACUUGUACAGGAUUAUGUUUGUUUGUAGUGUUUGAUUUGAUUGAAAUUCAUUUGGUGGCCUGAUAGCUAGAAGUGGUUUAUCAUGUUUCAUAGCUGUUUCAUUUGUUGGCAAUGCUGCUUUGUGCCAUUUUUUUCUCCUUUUUCCUUUUCUGAUGUUUCUUUUCCUCAAAAUCUAUAUUAUUGUUUCAGCUUUUCUGAAUUGGAUAUUUUAUAUGAUUAUAGGUCCUGUUGCUGAAGACAUGUUCCACUGGCAAGUAACAAUUAUGGGACCAGCAAAUAGCCCCUUUGUAGGGAAAGAAUUUAGUGGGAAAAAUGUAAGCCAAAGGCUGAUGUUAGAUUUCUUAGACGAACACCAAGAUAGCCCACGAGUCCUCUAGUGGUGGUUCGCCAUCGAAUAAUUACAGAAGACGCACAGGAGAAGUUAUCGGUAUAGUUGUCGGAUGUGCAGGUGGACUACUGAUACUCGCAGCUAUUUUCUAUCUAUGGUGGAUGAAUGAUGCACCUGGCCAUAUGCGAGUGCGCAUAGACUCGCCAAGAUUUGUAUUUUCAGCAUUACUGUAAUUGAUUGAAUGAAAGAUUGUAAUUGAUUCAUUAUUGAAUGAAUGAUUGUAAUUGAAUGAA